rnacentral:tRNA from 1 species
CGGAGCGUAGCGCAGUCUGGUAGCGCACCUGAUUUGGGAUCAGGGGGUCGCAGGUUCGAAUCCUGCCGCUCCGACC